rnacentral:pre_miRNA from 1 species
GACUCAUUGACCAUUAAUUGCCACGUGUCACCAUAUCAUUGGUUUUCCUUUUCCCUUUAACCCUGUGCAUUUUUCAUUAACGGCCAAUAAUAUGGUGACACGUGGCAAUUAACGGUC